AUAGACUAAACGCACUCGUUUUUGACUAGACAAAAAAACUCACCAUAUCACUAAUCCACUCAAAAGAAACGCAACGUUUAACUAAUUAUUUUUAACAGUCUUAACAGAAAUAUAAACAAAAAUACAACCGUUAGCUAAACCAUAACAAUUGCCCGCCCUCGAAAGGAUCCUUGUCCUCAAGGAUCAAAUGUGAGAAACCGAUGCUAUAGAUCCAACAAUUUCUCCCACGAAGCAUCCUCAGAAAAAGUAUUCGCCCAUUCGACCAAUACCUCCACUACAGCUUGAUUCCCAUGUUUGACCAAACGCCGAUCCAACACUCGAACUGGUGACUUAAGAAGGGCACUAUCCGGACUAAUUAGUG
rnacentral:lncRNA from 1 species